UGUACCCAUGUUCCUUGCUCAGCUCAGUCUUUAAAUGCCAUCUUGUAUAAUAGAAGCUUCUGCUUAUGAAAAGACCGCAGUGAAGGGUGGAGCGUGAUUACGGUGGGCUGUGAGGCGUCCCAGACGAUGUCCCCGGAGAAGGCUCCUCUGCAGACCUGCAUUUCAUCUGAGAGGGAGCUUGGGGGCAAGAUCUGGGGGAGGGGCCUGGAGGGCUCCUGAUGUGGGAAAGCAGCGGCAGGAGUGGCGAUGGCCCUGCAGGGAAUGACCCUUGCCAGCUACAGGGACAGCGACAGUGACGGGCAGUGACUGGGGCCAGCACUGCGACUGCCCUCCUCACUCCCCAUCUCGCCUGGCAGAGCAAACUGUCUCCUCUACCCAGCAGCCAGAGUCCUGCCCUGGAGUCUCUGCGCCUAGAAGGAGCACAGCCUCCUCCACCAGGCAGACGCCUUCACCAUCCCAGCCUCACCCUGGCCGGGGCUCCUCAUUCCACUUCCCUUGGUUUCUCCAGUCCUCCUUCCCCCCGGGGCGCAUCGUGGGAGUGGCCCGUGAUGCCGCACGGCUGAGUCACCUGGAGAUGCCAUCUGUACAUCAAACGGCAACUUCUACCUUUCCCUCACUCAUCCCCUUGCCUGGUGACUUCAGUGGACUGGGUGCAUGUGGGGCCAGAGGAAGUGGCCCCACUCUAGGGCUCUGCAAAGAGGGGAGGGCGCCUGCCUGUCUCACUUCCGGAGAUGGUUGAGGUUCGGUAAGGAUGAAGCAAGGUGGGAGGCACAGCGGCUUCUUCUUUUCUAGAGGCCACGGGGCCACCACAGCCUUCUGAGUAGAAAUGGAUGUG
rnacentral:lncRNA from 1 species